rnacentral:lncRNA from 1 species
UUGGGAUGGAUCUACUGAUCUGGAAACUAUUAACACGCAGCAAGUUCAUUCAAGCACUUCUGAAAAUGCCAUGAAUUUGUCUUCGGAUGUUCAUGGUUUGCCCAAAGCUUCGGUAUCGGAUGCUGAGAUCAAGCCAAAUGAUCUACCUUAUCAUAAUGGUGUUGAACAUGUCCAUGCUUCAUACCUCAAACCUGCGGGUUUUGUCUCCAAACAAGAAAAAUAAAGUGCGCAUCAGUUUAAUAAUAAUAAUUAGACCAUGCUACGAAACUGUUACUAUCAUGUCAAGUUUGGAACAUAAGAAAGCAAGCUAUUGAUAGAAAGUUCUUUGAAUAAAACAAAGACAAAAGGAAAGGUUCUAAAACUUACAAUCUCCUACACACACUUUAGUGUGUCUGCUGUUGGGAGGAUCGUGACCAAUUGUUCAAGGAAGUAGAAGGGAUUAUCAGAAGGCAUAUUAACAUGUCGGUUCUCCCUAGUGUCCAAUCAUUCCAUGAAAUAGCAUAUCCACUGUGGUUGACAUCAGCUAUCUGUGAGAUUUGGUUCGCGUUAUCCGGGAUUUUGGAUCAGUUUCCAAAGUGGUCGCCCAUUAACCGUGAGAUUUAUCUUGACAGGCUUGCUAUAAGAUAUGAUCGUGACGGAGAACCAUCACAGUUGGCCUUUAUUGACGUUUCCGUCAGUACAGAGAACCCUCUCAAGGAGCCGCCUCUUAUCACUGCAAAUACUGUUUUGUCUAUACUCUCCGUUGAUUACCCUGCCGACAAGGUUUUCUGCUAUGUAUCAGAUGAUGGUUCAGCUAUGACAUUGUCGCACCUCAAGAAAUAGAAUCAUUUUAGAAUUUUCAAUUAGAACACACCAUAGAGUGCCAAAUUAGAAUCAAAUCAACUUAGUCAUAUACCUAAACCAUAAGGACCUAAUCAGCUCAAACAUCACACAUUUCUCUCUUGAGAUCAUUCAUUACUAUCAUACCCCGAUUUUGGCCCUGAAAAUUUUCCCAAUCAAUCAUUCAUUUGCAUUCCUCCUCAUGACCAUUUCAUCUGGUCAUGAGGCUGUCCACCCACUUUUUUUUGUUUAGACAUUGCCAUCAUUUGUCGUUCCAUAACUUUCGGAUUGUCACCUUUUCAUUUGACCUUAGAUGUUUGAUCUCCAUAGUCGAGUAAGACUUAGAAUCUCUUUCUCAUUUGAUAGGAUCUGGUGGAAUAUCAUGACUUUCAUUCUUAUGUCUAAAUCCAAUCCACGUUUUGUCUUCCUCAUAAAACAUUAUCUUUUUUUGUUCCAAUAUAUUAUCCAUGUGACGUUUGCUUUUACGUUGUCAUAUUCUUAGUACUCACUCCUUUUUCAAUGAAUUUAUGUGUCGAGUGCAAAACGUUGUUGUUUUUGGUCAUCAUACGUUUCAAUAUCCAUAUCUUAAGUCCAUUUUUUAAAUCCAAGUUUCAUUCCAAAUCCAUUAUCUAUUUUUCUUAUUUGUAUCCAUUCAAAUAACCAAUCAUCCAAUUUCACAUUACAAUUAAUCCAUAAACCUUUUAAUGGACGUUUUCAUUUACAAUAUUAUUUAUCAAUAAAGAAAUAAAACAAGCAGGAUUUUGGCCAUUAUACCUUGUGAGCAAGGUCGACUGGACAUGGCAAUUUUACACUACAAACAAGUUGUUACAUGUGACCCCAGAUUUUGGAAGCUUACAAUAAUUUAGGUUUUGCUUUGAGAGAUGUAGACAGGGUGGAAGUGUUCCAUCCAGCGUUUGGCAGGACAAGAUUUCAAAUGCUAAUAAAAGAUUGCUACUAGAGUUACAAAAUAAUCAAUUUGCAAACAUAUCAGGCGCUACUAAUCUUCCUCCAAAUGUCACACUCUUGCUUGAUGGGAAUCCUCUGUGCUCAGAUAACACAUUCAAUCAGUUCUGUAAACUUGAAAGAGCUCCACAUUUCAAUGCAUUUGAGGAAUAUUUGACUUCUAAUCUUAAGCUAUAUGCCAAUCAACUGAGCUAUGCUUUUGAGUGGCUAGUAGGACCAUGAUUGCUAAUGAUCUUGAAGUUUUUUUUCCUGAAUAUGUUGAUAACAAUAGCUCGCGCACUUUCUGUUCAAGUGAAAUCCAACGGAUCAGAAACAUGUUCACUAGAUGGGUCAUUCCUAAUCGUGAUUUGUUCAGGACUGAGACCUCGUCCAAUUCAGGCCUAAGCACAGGUGCUUUGUUUGGUAUGAUCUUAAUCCAACUGUCAGCAAGCAUCCGCUGUUGUCAUUCUCUCCCCGAAGUUGCCGCUUCCAUCACUUGAAUCUCCGACGAUAUUGUUAUUAUUUGUGUGGCCUUCAUGCUGUGUAGUUGUGCUGCUGGAAGAGAAUCCACAAACAGUCCUACUCAGUCACAUACAUUGCAAUAUGAAUUAGGGACAUCAAAGAGCUUCCUCCACACCGACUGGCUGAAAUAAGAAGAUUAUAUGAAGACUACAAAAAGAAAGAGAACAACAACAAAAUACAGCAUCGCUUCAAUUUCAUAGUUUCAUAGCAAUUCUCGCCAAAAAAACCAAACUUUCACCUCAAAACUUCUGUAUACUCUUCUCAAUUUCACACUUCCAGGUGAGCAAGAUAAACGGUGUUCUUAUCCAUGUUGCAAGUGUAUCUGAACUUAUGAAGGAUGGAAAACAAACUCUUCUCAAUUUCACACUUCCAGGUGAGCAAGAUAAACGGUGUUCUUAUCCAUGUUGCAAGUGUAUCUGAACUUAUGAAGGAUGGAAAACAUAGUUGGUGCGAUGUUGUCGGACACUAUUUUUCUCCAAAAAAAAAACAUGCAUGUAACACCAUCUAGUUUCUAUUGAUUGGUUGAAGAGUAGGAAAGAUUAGAAGCUGGUUGGAAUAGUGGGCUCUGUUUACUGUUGUUUGAGCUGCGAUGAUGUAGAAGAUUAUGUGAACCCAAAUAAUCCUGCGUGUAGGAACGACAUGUGUCUCAGUUGCUUGGUACAUAAUCUUUUGAAUGUGUGUGCAUCAAUAUUCCGAAGAGGCGAAGCACUUUCAAUUUCUUCAUCUCUUUAAGGAACAACAUCCAUGACAUCUGUAGCAUCACUUGAUAAUUCUCCAUCGGACAUGUACCGUUCUCCUCCAAGGCCCUUACCAUAUGAUGCAGAGCCUCUAAACUCAACAGACAAAUGGAAUGAAUGUGCCCGAGAAGAUGAAUUGAAGAUAUACCGUUCUAAGUCUGCAUCAAGAACUUUCAUCAGCAAAAUACACACUUGGAGUUGGGCUUGUUUACACGUCAUCAUCAGAAGAAGAGGAUAUCUGUCCAACUUGCCUUGAAGAAUACACUAAAGAGAAUCCCAAGAUAAUGACAAAAUGCUCUCAUCAUUUUCACCUUAGCUGCAUCUAUGAGUGGAUGGAGAGAAGUGACAACUAUCCAGUUUGUGGAAAGGAGAUGGAAUUCGAUGAGACAAUAUACUCUUGAUAAUCUGGAGGUGGAUAAAGGCAACAUCUAAAGAUAGUAGUCAGGCUGCAGUGAAAAGAAAAAUCACUAAGAAUCAAAGAGAAUUUGAAUUUGAAGUCAGUAUUCUAGGAAUAAUUCAACACAAAAAAUACCGUGUAUCCCGUACUUGGGAUGGAUCUACUGAUCUGGAAACUAUUAACACGCAGCAAGUUCAUUCAAGCACUUCUGAAAAUGCCAUGAAUUUGUCUUCGGAUGUUCAUGGUUUGCCCAAAGCUUCGGUAUCGGAUGCUGAGAUCAAGCCAAAUGAUCUACCUUAUCAUAAUGGUGUUGAACAUGUCCAUGCUUCAUACCUCAAACCUGCGGGUUUUGUCUCCAAACAAGAAAAAUAAAGUGCGCAUCAGUUUAAUAAUAAUAAUUAGACCAUGCUACGAAACUGUUACUAUCAUGUCAAGUUUGGAACAUAAGAAAGCAAGCUAUUGAUAGAAAGUUCUUUGAAUAAAACAAAGACAAAAGGAAAGGUUCUAAAACUUACAAUCUCCUACACACACUUUAGUGUGUCUGCUGUUGGGAGGAUCGUGACCAAUUGUUCAAGGAAGUAGAAGGGAUUAUCAGAAGGCAUAUU